rnacentral:rRNA from 1 species
UACGUAGGGGGCAAGCGUUGUCCGGAUUUAUUGGGCGUAAAGAGCUCGUAGGCGGCCUGUCGCGUCGGCUGUGAAAACCCGGGGCUCAACCCCGGGCCUGCAGUCGAUACGGGCAGGCUAGAGUCCGGUAGGGGAGACUGGAAUUCCUGGUGUAGCGGUGAAAUGCGUAGAUAUCGAGAGGAACACCAGAGGUGAAGACGGGUUGCUGGGCCGACACUGACGCUGACAGCGCGAAAGCCAGGGGAGCAAACGGG